AUUAAAGUGGCAGAGUUUAUGCAAAGAAUUUAAGCUUCUUAUAGGGUUAUCCCUUUAAUA
rnacentral:tRNA from 1 species